GAUGAAGAACGUAGCGAAAUGCGAUAAGUAAUGUGAAUUGCAGAAUUCAGUGAAUCAUCGAAUCUUUGAACGCACAUUGCGCCCCUUGGUAUUCCGAGGGGCAUGCCUGUUCGAGCGUCAUUAUAACCCCUCAAGCUCAGCUUGGUGUUGGGGCCUGCUGCACUGGCAGCCCUUAAAAUCAGUGGCGGCGCCAUCUGGCUCUAAGCGUAGUAAUUCUUCUCGCUAUGGAGUCCUGGUGGAUGCGUGCCAUCAACCCCCAAUUUUUCUAUGGUUGACCUCGGAUCAGGUAGGGAUACCCGCUGAACUUAUGCAUAUCAAUAAGCGGAGGA
rnacentral:misc_RNA from 1 species